UGGGGAAUUGUUCACAAUGGGCGCAAGCCUGAUGACGCAACGCCGCGUGGGGGAUGAAGGUCUUCGGAUCGUAAACCCCUGUCGAAUGGGACGAAAGACUCGCGAGUGAAUACUUCGCGAGAGUGACGGUACCGUUAAAGGAAGCCACGGCUAACUCUGUGCCAGCAGCCGCGGUAAUACAGAGGUGGCAAGCGUUGUUCGGAAUUACUGGGCGUAAAGGGCGCGUAGGCGGCCCUCUAAGUCAGACGUGAAAUCCCCCGGCUUAACCUGGGAACUGCGUCUGAUACUGGAGGGCUUGAGUAUGGGAGAGGGAUGUAGAAUUCCAGGUGUAGCGGUGAAAUGCGUAGAUAUCUGGAGGAAUACCGGUGGCGAAGGCGGCAUCCUGGACCAUUACUGACGCUGAGGCGCGAAAGCUAGGGGAGCAAACGGGAUUAGAUACCCAGGUAGUCCCUGAGCGGGCUGGCAAGGCGCAU
rnacentral:rRNA from 1 species